UGCAGAGUCUUGUUAGGGAAGCUCUGAGGUUGAUGCGGAGGGAGUGGAAUCUUGGGCAGUGGAGAAGGAGGUUUUCCGGUGUGUGUGUGGGGCACCAUGGUCAGUGAGGGUCCUGGACCUAUAGACACCAUGUGGCUUUGCCAGUCCUGCCGUGUGAAGGUCGCUGCCUCUCACCAAUGGAAAAAAGCCCAAACAGCAGCAAAAGGUCAUCACACAGCACCAUACAGCUGAAGCAUCAGUCAAAGCCUCAAACAGUGCUGAUGACCAAAUCACUGAGAAGCCAAGCCGCCUGGAGAAACAAACCUGGCGGCCGCCAAGUUUUACCUUCCUGAGCUGUAGGUGUUGGUGAUGCCAGGCUGGAACACUCCCCGCCCAGGGCUACGCCAACCUGAGAAGGCACUGCAAGACUAUCCCUAGCUUAUAAGGUCCGCCUCUACUCCGCCGGCCUCUCCUGGACAACGACGCCCUGCCCUUGACGACCCUCGCGGCUGACUCCGUCGACAUCUCACUGGCCCUGAAGGGAAGUGAGGUGCCUGGCCAGCAGCAGAAGCUCAAGACCUUAGCAGCAGAGGCAGGACGAGCCAAGACUUGCCCAGGACCAAGAAUCAUAGUAGUAACAGUAGUAGUAGUGGUAUGAUGCCUACUGCUUCCUAACUACUGUUAUUAUUACCGCUGUUCAGGUUUUCCUCCUCUCUGAUAUCCUUCCCUAUUUUUAUACCAUUUUGCCAUAGCUCCUCCUUUAUCUCUUCUGCUUCUCCUCCUCCUCCUAUAACCUUCUCACUGUUCAUUUCCUUUCCUCCUAUAACCCUCUCUUUCCUUUCCUUACUGUUCAUUUUCUAGAUUUUCCUCGUGCUCUUCCAAUUUCCCUGUUCCUGUGUUCCCCGUCCUGACAAAUGUUCUUCCCUCAUUCUCCUUCCCUGCAUCCCUUCCUUCCCUCCUAUAGGACUUUACCGCUCCAUUUCUCCUCCUCCUUUUCCAUGUUCCCCAUCUCGAGUUUCCUUCCCUUCUCCCAUUCUGCUCUUUCUCCUCCUCUAUGAUUUUGAUGUCGAGGAAACUUAGAUUUUUUCAUUUCAUAUAUCUCUCUCUCUCAGGGGGAAGACUUACACAUUUAUUUUUCUAUUUGAUUUAUUUAUUAACAUAUAUUUCUUGAUACAUUUUAUUGUUCUCCUGAUCUCCCUCACACACCAUGAAUUCAUAGCAAAAUUGGACAGAAACAGAUAUGAAGACAACAAUACAUGUUUGGCUCAAAUCAAGUGUAUAUACUAGAACCAGGUAAAUACACACUACUAACAGGGAGCUUAUGCUAAGGGUGGUGUCGCUUCAGAGAGGGAGAGAGUAAGGGUCUCAUAUAUGUGUCUGGGGGGCAUGUGUCUGUGGGGUUUGUAAACAUACUGUGGGGGACAUCCUGUGGGGCCUGUGAACUGUGGUGUGGUGAGAGAGAGAGAGAGAGAGAGAGAGAGAGAGAGAGAGAGAGAGAGAGAGAGAGAGAGAGAGAGAGAGAGAGAG